rnacentral:rRNA from 1 species
AGAGUUUGAUCCUGGCUCAGAACGAACGCUGGCGCAUGCCUAACACAUGCAAGUCGAACGCUCACCGGGCUUCGGUUCGGUGGGAGUGGCGCACGGGUGAGUAGCGCGUGGGAACCUGCCCUGUUGUGGGGGAUAACCGAGGGAAACUUCGGCUAAUACCGCAUGCGCCCGGGGGUGACUCCGGGGAAAGAUUUAUCGCAGCAGGAGGGGCCCGCGUCGGAUUAGCUAGUUGGCGGGGUAACGGCCCACCAAGGCACCGAUCCGUAGCUGGUCUGAGAGGAUGAUCAGCCACACUGGGACUGAGACACGGCCCAGACUCCUACGGGAGGCAGCAGUGGGGAAUAUUGGACAAUGGGCGCAAGCCUGAUCCAGCAAUGCCGCGUGAGUGAUGAAGGCCUUAGGGUUGUAAAGCUCUUUCGCCCGCGACGAUGAUGACGGUAGCGGGAGAAGAAGCCCCGGCUAACUUCGUGCCAGCAGCCGCGGUAAUACGAAGGGGGCGAGCGUUGUUCGGAUUUACUGGGCGUAAAGGGCGCGUAGGCGGCCCUCUUUGUCGCGUGUGAAAGCCCCGGGCUCAACCUGGGAAUGGCGCGCGAAACGGGGGGGCUCGAGUUCGGGAGAGGAGCGUGGAAUUCCCAGUGUAGAGGUGAAAUUCGUAGAUAUUGGGAAGAACACCGGUGGCGAAGGCGGCGCUCUGGACCGAGACUGACGCUGAGGCGCGAAAGCGUGGGGAGCAAACAGGAUUAGAUACCCCCGUAGUCC